rnacentral:rRNA from 1 species
CCUACGGGAGGCAGCAGUGAGGAAUAUUGGUCAAUGGACGAGAGUCUGAACCAGCCAAGUAGCGUGAAGGAUGACUGCCCUAUGGGUUGUAAACUUCUUUUAUAUGGGAAUAAAACAGGGCAUGCAUACCCUCUUGUAUGUACCAUAUGAAUAAGGAUCGGCUAACUCCGUGCCAGCAGCCGCGGUAAUACGGAGGAUCCGAGCGUUAUCCGGAUUUAUUGGGUUUAAAGGGGGCGUAGGUGGAUUGUUAAGUCAGUUGUGAAAGUUUGCGGCUCAACCGUAAAAUUGCAGUUGAAACUGGCAGUCUUGAGUACAGUAGAGGUGGGCGGAAUUCGUGGUGUAGCGGUGAAAUGCUUAGAUAUCGCGAAGAACUCCGAUUGCGAAGGCAGCUCACUGGACUGCAACUGACACUGAUGCUCGAAAGUGUGGGUAUCGAACAGGAUUAGAUACCCGUGUAGUC